rnacentral:lncRNA from 1 species
GAUGUUAAACCUUUUAAGCAAAGUGAAACACGUUAAGGAAUAGUAAGUUGUAACACUAGUUAUAUUACCAUGAAUGAAUAACUGAGCCUUGAUGUUUGCAAUCUUUAUGUUGGUGGAGAUGAAGGUAGAUGUGCGGCGAGGUUUGUUUCUUGUGAACAAAAUGUCAUGCAGCAAGCUUAUAAUAGUUUACCUGAGAACAAGGGAGGUUUGGUCAAAUU